rnacentral:snRNA from 14 species
GUGCUGGCUUUGGGAGCACAAACACUACAAAAAAAGGGUAACGACACAGAUUAGCAUGGCCCCCUGAACAAGGAUGGCAUGCAAAUUCAUGAACUGUUGCAUAAAAAU